rnacentral:rRNA from 1 species
AUUCCAGCUCCAAUAGCGUAUAUUAAAGUUGUUGCAGUUAAAAAGCUCGUAGUUGGAUUUCUGGACGGAGCAGCCGGUCCGCCGCUGUGCGGUGUGUACUCGUGCUUGACUCGGUUCAUCCUUGUGGGGAAGCGCAUUUCGGCAUUCAGUUGUCGAGGCGGGGAACCACAUCAUUUACUGUGAAAAAAUUAGAGUGUUUAAAGCAGGCAUUUUGCUGUGAAUACAUUAGCAUGGAAUAAUAACAUAGGACUUUGAUUCUACUUUGUUGGUUGGAGAUCAAGGUAAUGAUUAAUAGGGAUAGUUGGGGGUGCUAGUAUUGAGCGGCCAGAGGUGAAAUUCUUGGAUUUGUUAAAGACGGACUACUGCGAAAGCAUUUGCCAAGGAUGUUUUCAUUA